rnacentral:siRNA from 1 species
UAUCUCGCCGUCCGGUAGGUUUGC